GCUGGGUGUGGUGGCGUGUGUCUGUAAUCCCAGCUACUUGGGAGGCUGAGGCAGGAGAAUGGCUUGAACUCAGGAGGCAGAGGGUGCAGUGAGCUGAGAUUGUGCCACUGCACUCCAGCCUGGGUGACAAAGCAAGACUCUGUCUCAA
rnacentral:SRP_RNA from 1 species